AAGAAAACGUGAGAGCCAGGAGGAGCUUGAAACUCCUGACUGUGUAGCCGUCAACACCCUCAUGGAAAAGAGGCGGAGGUAGCUGUCAGAGGACAAGCAGGAGAAAUAUAAUCAUGACGUAAAGAGGCUGAGGCAGCUUCACAACCACAUCUACCCAGAUUGGUCAGCAAAGGAAAAUGAUGGCCAAAAGUGGAAAAGGAUCAGGAAGAGGCUCCAGAGAUGACUGAGGGUACGUUAAUAAUCAUGUGGAUAAGUG